UAUUAAGAGAGUUUGAUCCUGGCUCAGGAUGAACGCUGGCGGCGUGUCUAAGGCAUGCAAGUCGAACGCCCCGCCCUUUCUGAAUUUUAUUUAUAAGGUGAUAGAAUGCUAACGAUUUAAAAGAUGUUUUGUCAAAAUAAUAUAGAAUUUAGAAAGGGCUGGGCGUGGCAAACGGGAGAGUAACACAUUAGUAAUCUACCGGAAAGAGGGGGAUAACCUUGAGAAAUCAGGGAUAAUACCCCAUGUGAUCUUAAAGUUGAUCUUUAUGAUUAAAGCGAGCAAUCGCGCUUUCUGAGGAGCUUAUGACCUAUCAGGUUGUUGGUGGGGUAAAAGCCUACCAAGCCGAUGACGGGUAGCGGGUGUGAGAGCAUGACCCGCCUCAUUGAGACUGAGACACUGCUCAAUCUCCUACGGGGGGCUGCAGUCAAGAAUCUUCCUCAAUGGCCGAAAGGCUGAAGGAGCGACGCCGCGUGCAGGACGAAACUCUUCGGAGCGUAAACUGCUUUUCUGGGGGAACAAGCUUCGGUUGAGUGUACCUCAGGAAUAAGUCGCAGCUAACUUCGUGCCAGCAGCUGCGGUAAGACGAAGGCGACAAGCGUUAUCCGGAUUUACUGGGCGUAAAGAGUGUGUAGGCGGUUUAAUAAGUUUUUGGUUAAAGCCCUUUGCUUAACAUUGGGAGUGCUAAGAAAACUGUUAAACUAGAGGUCGGGAGAGGCAAGCGGAACUGCCGGUGUAGGGGUAGAAUCCGUUAAUAUCGGCAGGAACACCAAAAGCGAAGGCAGCUUGCUAGAACGAUUCUGACGCUGAGACACGAAAGCGUGGGGAGAGAACGGGAUUAGAUACCCCGGUAUUCCACGCCGUAAACGAUGGAUGUUGGACAUUGGAAGUGUCGACCCUUUCAGUGUCGCUAUAAAAAAGCUAACGCGUUAAACAUCCCGCCUGGGAAGUACGGCCGCAAGGCUAAAACUCAAAGGAAUAGACGGGAGCCCGCACAAGCGGUGGAUCAUGUGGUUUAAUUCGACGCUAAGCGAGGAACCUCACCAGGGCUUGACUCGCUAGGUUGUAGAUUGGCCGAAAGGUUGAUUGACCGUAAAAUCGGAACCUAGUACAGGUGCUGCAUGGUUGUCGUCAGCUCGUGCUGUGAAGUGUACCGUUAAGUCGGAAAACGAGCGCAACCCCUACUCUUAAUUGCCAUCGUUCCUUUAUUGGAAGCUGGGCACUCUAAGAGGACUGCCAGUGAUGAAUUGGAGGAAGAUGGGGACGACGUCAAAUCAGCAUGGCCCUUAUGCCCUGGGCAACACACGUGAUACAAUGGCUAGUACAAAGGGUUUGCAAAAUCGUAAGGUGAAGCUAAUCCCAUCAAAGCUAGUCUUAGUUCGGAUUGAGGUCUGCAACUCGACCUCAUGAAGCCGGAAUCGCUAGUAACCGUAUAUCAGAACGGUACGGUGAAUACGUUCUCGGGCUUUGUACUCACUGCCCGUCACGCCAAGGAAGUCGGCAAUACCCGAAAGUCCGCGUUCGCGGGAAUAAGGUAGGGCUGGUAACAGGGGCGAAGUCGUAACAAGGCAUCCGUAGCGGAAGCUGUGGAUGGAUCACCUCAUUU
rnacentral:rRNA from 1 species